GAUUAACGCUGGCGGUACGUUUAAUACAUGCAAGUCGAACGGAGCACUUGUGCUCAGUGGCGAACGGGUGAGUAACACGUAGGUAACCUGCCCUUAAGACGAGGAUAACUCUUGGAAACGAGAGUUAAUACUGGAUUGAAAGCAGACUCGGCAUCGAGACUGUUUAAAAGAUGCUCAUGGCAUCGCUUAAGGAGGGGCCUGCGGCGCAUUAGUUAGUUGGUGAGGUAAUGGCUCACCAAGACAAUGAUGCGUAGCUGGACUGAGAGGUUGAACAGCCACACUGGGACUGAGAACGGCCCAGACUCUUACGGGAGGCAGCAGUAGAGAAUUUUCGGCAAUGGGGGGAACCCUGACCGAGCGAUACCGCGUGAUUGAAGAAAUACUUCGGUAUGUAAAAAUCUUUUACAAAGGAUGAAUGACCUUAGGAGGAAAUGCCUAAGGAGUGACAGUACUUUAGGAAUAAGCCCC
rnacentral:rRNA from 1 species